AUAAGUUGAGGCGGUUUAUGCAGCUGCUAUAAUUUACUUGUAGAAAGCAGCGGUUUCUGGUGCCUUUAGCGGUUUUAAACGCCAUUACCUGCUCUGCUUCAAUAAUAUAAAAACACUUCUAUUUCAUUAAUAAGCGUGCUAUUUAAUCGAACCUCCAUCGCAAUGUGAAAAACCAAGAAGAAACUUCAUCGCAACAUGAGAUCUGCGAUCUCAUCCACGAGGUUCUCCUAUGGCGGCAAGCUCCUCCAUCAACGCUUUUCUUCCAGCUGCGAUCUUCUCCAUCAACGUUUCACUUCAAUUGAUGGAUCUACUGUGUGAUUUUUCCUGCUCCACCGUGUUGUCCUCUGUGAAGCUUCUCCUUCUCCAUCUUCUUUGAAUUAGUGAUGAAGAUAAAUUGAUUUGGAACUAUUUAGAAGAUGGAAGUUACUAAAAUAAGAACCACUUGAAGAUAGACAUCAUCUUUUUAUUCAUUUGUGCUUUAUGUCGCUAGGAAGUUUGGUGCAUAAACUUUCAGAAGUUAAUCUUGAUUGGUUUGGCUGGGUUAAGUUGAUUCAUUGCAUCUUCAAUCUCAUUUCGCUUAGUCUUCAAAUUGGUCAGGUGUUGGUGGCUAUUCUUAUCUAUUGGAGCCACUCUAGUAAGCUCCCAAUGUUUAUUUGAUUUUAUAUUUGUUAGUUAGAUUUUCUGUUACUUCAGUGGAUAUUAUUCUCCUCAUUCUUGGUUUUGAUUUGAUUCAAUGAUCUUAUUAUGGCUUAAUUGGAUCAAAAAGGAAAGUUUGUAUUCAAUAAGUUAGGUUGAAGUAAUUUCAUUUUGCAUUGGUCUCUGGAUUUUGGAUUUGAUUAAGCAUCACAUCAGGUAAUUUUGUAAUUUUAAUUUCAUUAUAUAGAAGGACUUCUCCUUCUAAUGUGAAUAUGUUGAUUAUAUGUUAAAUUGAAGCAAGUUUGUAUCAAUGUAUAUUGAAACCUUUAAAUGGUUAAUUACGUAAGCGUUUGAUCAAACAAAAACUUUAAACUUCCAUAGAAAUAUUGUAACAACAUUUCCUUAUAAUCAAUCAUCAAUAAUACUAGGCUACAUUAGGUCUAGGGGAAACAAAGGUUAACACCUAAUAAUCCUAAUUAAUGGUGGUUAAAAUAUUAAAAUGAUGCUUUAGUUUAUUAGUACAUGUGACGCCACAAUUCUCAAGCAUCAAACCAUUGAUCUUUCAAUAUCUUGGAGGCCCUUUGACAUAUGUAAGAGUAAGGUUAAAACUGGCAAAUAAAUCCAAUAAAAAUAGGUGGCCCACUAUUUGAAUGAUUCGGUGGAAAUGAAAGCUAAAAUCCAAUGACGAUUAUGUUGUUAUCAAUUUUGGAGGCUGAGGUAAUUUAGAAUGCGAGGUAACGCUUGCUUAUCUUUGUCUAAUCGUUGUCCUGUUCUUGCGUGUUUUUCAGUGUUUUUUAGUUUGGUAAAUUAAAGACUAAUUUACUACAAGCCAUUUUAUUUAAGGUUUGCUAUUGAUAAAUAAAUUGCUAUAUAUAUAAAGUGAAAUUUGAAUUCUCGAUUAUUAUUUAAAUGGAUUAGUAAAGCAAUAGCAACUACAAGAACCUAUCAAUUCCGUUCUGGAAAUAUUGAGUAUGGCAACUCAACAAGGUUAGAAUUGUGCUAUCUUUUCUUUCUUUCAAAUUAUAUUGAAUCUUGACCAUGAUGCAUAGUAAUUAUUGCACUAUUGUAGUGCAGAUUUGGUUCCAUGGUUUCUUUACUUUGAUAUAUUUAAACACAAAAUGCUGCUGGAGAACAUGAUUUUUUUUAAAUUCACGUUUAUAUUAUUUUGAUAAGUUUCUUCUUUAUAGGUAUGAGUAUUCAGAUUUAACCAUAAGUUCUUUUUUAAUGUUAUGACAAGAUUCUGCUACUAGUAAUGUCUUUCCUCCCUGCUGCUUAUCUUUGGUUUGUCACUCUCUACUUCACACUUCACACUUCACACUUUUGAAUUAUGAUGAUGGAACUUUGUUCUUGAUUCUUGAUAUUAUAGGAAUGAUGGAUUCGUCUUGGACUUGCACUCAACUUCUCAGUGUUUUAUUAUGAGAUCAUGAACUAGCUAUGUAUUGGGAUUACUGAAAUAAUUAAAUUAAAGGGCUUGCCAUUUGGCAAAACAAGCAUUUGAUGAGGCAAUUGCGGAGUUAGACACAUUGAGUGAAGAGUCGUACAAAGACAACAUUUUGAGAAAUCAUGCAAUCGUUGAGAGACAACCUCACUCUGUAGACCUCCGAUUUGCCUGAGGAUAGAGGUGAAGAAUUCAAACCAGUAGAAGAAGCAUCAAAACCUGCCAAACCUGAGUCUUAAGGUGCAGAGAACUCGGCAUCAAUCGCUGGCCUCAUAGGAAAAUCAAAAGCUUGCCUUUACUCUUACAAAAUCUGAAGGUAUACUUAUAAUUAUUGUGGUGGUCAAUGAUUGAAUGAAAACUGAUUAUUUUAAUUUGAAUGUAAGAGAUGAGCUUGGAUAAUGAAGUUGGAGUGGUCGAGCAAAAAAUAGAGAUGUUAGAGCAAGUUCCAGGGAUGAAACACAGACGAGACCAAGAAACUAAGGCAGACUUAUUUUAAAGCUAAUUACAAAAGAGGAAACUUUUGGCCUUCAAAUCUUAUUCAUCAUCACUGAGCUAAGCUACUUGUCUUGUAUAUUCAUAUUCUAAGUAGUAAAAACAACACUUAUUAAAUAGUUUAAAUACAUUAUUAGAUAUUAACAUAGUUUAAGGAACUGGAUGGUAGAUUUGACUGAUUAAUGCUUAUUGCAAUGCUUGUAUUUUGGUAAGUUUAGUAAGACAAAUUGUUGUAUAGGAGUUAUUACUUUUGAUUUCCAAUAAUAAAAAAUUAUAUAUUAUAUUAA